UACGGAGGGUGCUAGCGUUGUUCGGAAUUACUGGGCGUAAAGCGCACGUAGGCGGCGCAGCAAGUCAGGGGUGAAAUCCCGGGGCUCAACCCCGGAACUGCCCUUGAAACUGCAGUGCUAGAAUUCUGGAGAGGCGAGUGGAAUUCCGAGUGUAGAGGUGAAAUUCGUAGAUAUUCGGAAGAACACCAGUGGCGAAGGCGACUCGCUGGACAGACAUUGACGCUGAGGUGCGAAAGCGUGGGGAGCAAACAGG
rnacentral:rRNA from 1 species